rnacentral:lncRNA from 1 species
UAAGAUAUUAGUUUCUGGUUUUCAAGAUUUUAUGAUAGUUACAAAUGAUGAUCUACUUGUAAGCAAAGCUAGAAAAAUUCAAAACCUUUGGAUAUGAUAAUGACAUAAUGAUGUUGUACAUUGGAACUUUUGUGACUCACAUAUUGACAUUUCAUGAUAUCAUCCAUUGUACAUCAUAUUAACAUCAAAUACUGGUGGCAUUCUGGGACAAAAUCCAUUGUUACAUUGUACAUUAUAAGUAUUGUGAUGUUACACACUGGUGACAUUAUGGGGGCAUCAUCCAUUGUUAGAUUAUAUAUCAGAACAUUUGUGAUAGCACUUAUUGCUCUUUACAUAAUCAGCACUACACAACCCAUUGCUUCAUAUUGUCUAAUAUAUA